CAGAGAUGUGGAAGUGACCUUGUGUUUUUGCAGCCUGCUCUCUUGGCAAGAGAAAGAACUGUUCCAGAAACAGAAGCAUUUAUGGGAGGAGAAUGCUUAGCAGCAACUAUGGCUUUACAAAGAGAAAUGCAGCCACUUCUAAAACAAUACCUUGACAAGAAAGAAUAUGGGUGGAUGAUUCAUCACAAAUGUUUGGAAAACAGAGAUCAAUAACCAAAAAUGACACAGAAAUACAGUAGGAAGAAAAGACAGAGCUGGACACCCACUGAGUCACAAUCAUGUUAUGGCAGGCAUCUGGAGGAGGGAGAAUAUUAUGCAUCAUAUUGUCACUAUCGUCUGUCAGUCAUUGGUGACUGGGGCCAUAUGAGGCCCAGAAUAAUGUGCAGCUGCUCAACAUAACAUCCAGACCAUGGAACAAGCAAGAUCCUGU